CUGGUUGAUCCUGCCGGAGGGCAUUGCUAUUGGGGUUCGAUUUAGCCAUGCUAGUUGCACGAAUUUAGAUUCGUGGCGGAAAGCUCCGUAACACGUGGUCAAACUACCCUAUGGAUUGAAAUAACCUCGGGAAACUGAGGAUAAUGUCAAAUAGGGGUCUUCUGCUGGAAUGCUUAGACCUUGAAAUGCUCCGGCGCCGUAGGAUGUGGCUGCGGCCGAUUAGGUAGAUGGUGGGGUAACGGCCCACCAUGCCGAUAAUCGGUACGGGUUGGGAGAGCAAGAGCCCGGAGACGGACUCUGAGACAAGAGUCCGGGCCCUACGGGGCGCAGCAGGCGCGAAACCUUUACACUGCACGCAAGUGUGAUAGGGGGACACCCCNAGUGCGAGGGCAUAGAGCCCUCGCUUUUCUGGACCGGAAGGGGGUACAGGAACAAGGGCUGGGCAAGAGCGGUGCCAGGCGCCGCGGUAACACCGGCAGCCCAAGGGAUGGGCGAUAUUAUGGGGCCUAAAGCGUCCGUAGCUUGGCGAGUAAGGUCGGCGGGAAAUCUACUGGCUUAACCAGGAGGCGUCCGGCGAAAACUGGUCGGCUUGGGAGCGGGAGACCUNGAGGGGGACGUCCGGGGGUAGGAGUGGAAUCCCGUAAUCCUGGACGGGACCAGCGGUGGGCCAAA
rnacentral:rRNA from 1 species